rnacentral:rRNA from 1 species
UGGGGAAUCUUGCACAAUGGGCGCAAGCCUGAUGCAGCAACGCCGCGUGCGGGAAGAAGGCCCUAGGGUUGUAAACCGCUUUCAGCAGGGAAGAAACUGACGGUACCUGUAGAAGAAGGUGCGGCCAACUACGUGCCAGCAGCCGCGGUGACACGUAGGCACCAAGCGUUGUCCGGAUUUAUUGGGCGUAAAGAGCUCGUAGGCGGUUCGGUAAGUCGGGUGUGAAAACUCUGGGCUCAACCCAGAGCCGCCACCCGAUACUGCUGUGACUCGAGUGCGGUAGGGGAGCGGGGAAUUCCUGGUGUAGCGGUGAAAUGCGCAGAUAUCAGGAGGAACACCAGUGGCGAAGGCGCCGCUCUGGGCCGUGACUGACGCUGAGGAGCGAAAGCGUGGGUAGCAAACAGG